UUCUGCUUCCCGACUGCUGAUGCAAUGUGACCAGAAGUCUCACAUUCUUGCCGCCAUGGCUUCUCUACCCUUAAACUGUGAGCCAAAAUCAAUCCCUUCUUCCUCCAGUUGUUUUAAUUAGGCAUUUUGUUACAACAUUGGAGAAAGUAACACAGGGCAGUAACACCUUCCUGAAGUAGGAAUUUCUGGUUUCGCUGGAGAUUCAAUUGUGUCAUGUGAUGUUUUUCUAAAAGUUGUCUUAUGAGAGGAGGCUUUGCUGAGAACAGACAAGUGGUGUUUUUCUGGAAGCUACCUGGUAAAGGGGUAUGUAGUGUUUUGCCAGAGUGGAUGCUUGAGAAGGCACAUAAUGCUUGGAAAGAGUAUAAGAAUAAUCCAACAGGACUCUGGCAUUGGUUCACCUUGCUGGUCUUCAUUGGUCUUCACUGAUGCUGGUCUUCGCUGAUGACACUCUUAUAUUGGUUUGCCUUGCUUUCUUCUCUGAUCUUGGCUUGUUGUGACUUCAUAAAGAGAAUUGCACCAAAGAACUUCUGGUGGUGUUUCAGCUGCUUCUUGCUGAUUCUGCAUACUUGUACUGAUCAGAUCAGCAGUGGAGCCUUGCAGUUUCUUUUGAUCAAGCUGCUGCUGUUGAUUCGUAUUCAGGGUUUUGCUAGUGGACUGGACUUUUGACAAUGAAGAUUGAAACUGUAAGAAUAAAAAUGUUUUAGUUAACUCCACUACAAGCACUCAGAGACCUACUCAUACCCAGUCUGGGGGCAUGGCCUCCUGUUCCAAGAAAUAGGCUAACCAAAAGUCCAUCUGGCCUGGAUUAGGGCUGGUUCAGUAAUUCUGAGAAAGACAAGAGCAAGAAAAUGGUUUGCUUAGAUAAGUUGACUAAACUUGUGUUAUAGAUAGAGUAUGCCAAUUUGAAUGAGCCAUUGAAAUUGUUACGUGCCUAUUGCUUCCCGCCUGAGUGAUUUUCUCUAUAAAAUGAGCCCCCAAAUUGAGUUCAGGGUCGAAUUCCUCUGCCCCUGCAUGGGAUACGAGUCUCGACCCCAGUGCACUGGUUCCUAUCUAUAAACCUCAUAUGAUUACAGCAAGGAAGGUCUUACGUGAGUUCUUGGGGGGUUGCAUCAUCCUGAGACUUAAAUGAGGGUCUCCCCGCUCUGAGGGUCUUUCAUUUGGGGGCUUGUCCAGGAUCGGCGACCACCCUCAUCUCCGAAGACCCACUUGGAGGCACUUUGACUGAUUCUGAAUCUUGGCUACUGUGUGUGGAAACACCUAGAUAUGCAGUCCUCUUUUCCGUGCUGGUUUCAUUUCCUCUGGGAAUAUACUCAUGAGUGAAGUGGCUGGAGGAAACCAUUUAAAAGGGAGAAGACUGAAGUUGUUACAGGGUAAGAAUGUCCUGACUGAUCCCAGCAUGGGAGAACACAAGAAGAAGACUCACUUUGAGGAGAGCCAGGCAAGUGGAGAGUCUCAGGAUUUUCUAUGAAGCCCCUUCAGAUCCUGCCUGAACUGGAAAGAUAAAGAUAAUCCCUGCCUUGGGAGCAGAGUUAGUUCCUGAGGUCGUCAGCCCGCGCAGAGCAAACCUGCCAGUUCCAGUUUAUAUUGUUUCCUGGCUGUGUGGGUCUCCGACAUCAAGACGAUGAUGAAGAGUCAUGGAUUGCACCAAUUUGUAGUUUGACUAACAUAACAGCACACUAUAUGGAAUGGCAUGCUGGUGAACUGGUUGAGGCUGAAUUUCUGUUGGAUGAUGCGACUUCUGCCCAACAGACUCUUCUGGGUACUGUGGAUAUUGCUGACAGUGCUUGACUGUGGCUAUCAAGUUAAUGCACAACUGCUCCAAAAGCUUGGCUAACCAAGUCCUGACCAUGACUUUUUAUGGAACAAAGGCUUCUGCAUGGAAAAGUCACCUGUGAGCACAGGAACGUGACUCAGGCAAAUUUGCAGUCACUUAAGAGGUAUACCCCAUGUUUGACUGAGGAGGGAAGACCCGCAUUGUGUUUGGGUGGCAUCAUCCCACUGAAGUUCUGAACAAAAAGGAGAAAGCAGGACUUCUAUUCCAUUAUCGCUGGGCAAAUCUGUGGAAAAUAAGUUUCUGAAAGUGGAUGGUGAGGAGAUGGGGCCAUAACUGAAGGACGCAUCUAUGAAAGGAGAGAAAUUCUGGCAUAGCACCCUCCAGCUGUGCCACAGAGGGUCACAGUCCUGCUGCUGCUUGCUCCUGUCUAUUUUUGUCUGCUUCCAAAUCAGAGGCCUAGAAGGGGCUUCAGAAGCUUGUUGCCUUCAUGCUCAACUUCAGAGGCAAGCACAUCGACCGAAUUCUAAAAGACUUGCCAGUGGAAAGCACUUCAAAACCAGCCAACAAAUAUUUGUGAUUACGAUGUGCAUGCAAUAGCUUCCAAAGAAUGUGGAAAGCUAUACCAUCCAUACCCCAGGAAUUUUCUGUGCUACUGAGAGAGAUGCACAGAUAUGCACAAAACAUCCAUCGAAGAGUCUCAAAUGUAGCGCAUGUUUGAAGGUUGAAUGUCUAGACCAUCACAAAUACGUAUGUUCCCCACCUGUGUGUGUGUGUGUUUCUCUGUGUGAGUGUGCAUAUAAAGAGCAGAGAACUUCAGAUGUCAUCCCCUCAGGUGCUGCCAACCUUGUUUUUUGAGACAAGGUCUCUCACUUGGGCUGGCAUAACUGGCCCAAGGAUCAGCCUGUCUUUUCUCCAGGUCUAGGACUACAAGUAUAUAUACCUGACAUUCUACGUGGAUUUUUUGGGUUCUGGAGAUCUCUCUUUGGUCUUCCUACUUCUAAGGCAGGCACUUCACUGAUGAAGCUAUCUCCCUAUGCAAACAUGCAUUCUUGACAUCCUUUUCCUUUGACCCUGUUGUUUGCUGCUGGGGAAUUCUAAUUGUAACACAUUCCUCCCAGGUCUAAAUUCUAAAGUACUGAAUGCAAGAUGAUUAUGUCUCAAAGGUUAAGUAACUGUUUAAAUAGCCUAGACACAAAUUCCACCAAUUAUUAAUGUAAAUGAGGUUUUUUUUUCUCUUUUCAUGUUCAUACUUAUAAAAUGGAAAGGUAACAGCAUGUUCCUCAUUGGGUUCCUCAUAGGUGAGUUAUGGGUUGUUCAGACUAGUGCCUGAUAUAUAGAAAACUCACAUCAGAUUAAAUGAUAUUUGCCCAAUAGUCAUUCACAUAUUUGAUGACACAUUAAUGUCCUCUUUCAUCUGCUUAGUUCUGCUUGUUCUUUUUUUCCCUGUGUAACUUCAUCAUUGUGUGACUAAUGACAAAAUCAUUUAACUAUUGAUCUCAGAAUAAGAUAGUAAACCCACUCAGUCCUUUCUGUUAGGUUUUAAUGUCAUCCUUACUCCAAAUGUGAUAUAAAUGGGGGAGGGGGCUCAGCCAUGUUCUAAAUAAUUCAUGUUUGCAAGAGUGUUUCACCCAAAGACAUGAGCAGAACAUGGCACUAAUCCUCAAAGGCCUUGCUUCCAGUGUGAAGAGCAGACAGAUAAAUAGCCUUCCUGUCUCUGGCUAAGUGUGAAGGGCUAAUUGCUAAUCGUCUCACAUUGGAGAAAAACCUUCAGUUGAAAUGGAAGCAGCAAAAAGGAAAACCAAUCCCCAGGGGAAAGAGAAUUUAGAAAGAAAAGAGAACUACAACACCCUACCAAGCUCCAGCUGCUACCUACAAAGUCUGGAGAAGACACUUUGCCUCAUGAAGGUACAGAGUGUGUAACAGUGUAACAGUGUAACAGUGUAACACUGAGAGUUGGCUACCUGGAGACUGAACUCAGAUAACUGGGGCACUGAGUACAUUUCAUGAUAGCAUGUUCCAAACCUCAGCUUUGUUCUCAACUUCAGCUUCCAAUUUUGUAAAAUGCUUGAGUUCUCCCAUGAUGAAAACUAUACUGUGUACCUACCAAUGAUCAAGCCUAAAUCAUUACUCAGUGCUCAUCUUUUCAGAACAUGUCCAGUUUUUCCUUGCAGAAAAGUUCCAUGUGGAUGUGCACAUGUGGACGUACCCACAGGUAUUCAGUUCUGUUCUGUUUUACAAACUGCCAUCUCCUUAGCAAUUCAUGUUGUAGUGGAGAUAGGAUCAACUAAGCACAGAAAAACUGUAAAAUUUAUUUAAUUUACCAAUGGGAACCCUAAGUCCAGAGAUGCUUCUAAGCUGACUUGGAAGUCCAAAUUACAUGCCUUAAACCUAUAGACAUUAAAGUCUAUCUCUCAAAAGGCAUAGAAAGACAGAGAACACAAUGUAGAAAAGGGUGUCCAGAAAAACCUUUUUAAAAAUUAAUUUUUUAUAGGUAUGAGUGUUUGGUUUGCUUCUAUGUUUGUGAUUACCAUAUGUAUGCCUGGUGUCUCUGAAGAUGAAAAAAGACACUGGGUUCCCACGGAAAUGGAGUUAGAGAUGGUUUUGAGCUGCCAUAUGUGUGCUGGAAACUGAACCUAGAUCCUCUGGAAGAAAAAGCAACGCUUUUAACCACUGAGCCAUCUCUCUAGCCUUCCAGCUGAGCCUUUGCUGAGGGUGAAUGAGGAUUGGCACAGCAGAGCUUCUUGCUUUUGACUUAGGGUAGAAGGAAUUGUGUCAAGUGUCAAUAAACCACUUGAGGCAUAAGUGCUUAAGAUCUGACUGGUGACGGAGGAUAGAUGAAAAACACCCCUGUACAUGAACAAGAAGACCGUACUGUACAUAAGACGGACCACAAAUGACAAAGAAAAGGUUAGCACUAACUCCUUGAGGUCCUGGUUAGCAUGCUCUAGAGCUUCAGGGAAUUCUAUCUGUGCCAUUAAAUAGAAUGGGCUGUGUUACAAAAAGAACAGAGACAAGACUGAACAGUGCCUUUGAAAUCACCUCAUAAUAAUUGAGAAACAUUCUUUCCAGUAAUGUUUUCCUGCCUGCAGUAGAUAAAUAACAAAGAAUAGAGAAAACCCCAAAACAAAACUCAACAAGAAGCUAGGAAAGUAUUGUAUUUUGUUUUUUAAGUGGUUAUAGAAGUAAUAUAGUGGGUUAUGAUUUUAUUAUUUAUCUUGCCUACAUAUGUUUGACUUUUCUAU
rnacentral:sRNA from 1 species